GAUGAACGCUGGCGGCGUGCCUAAUACAUGCAAGUCGAGCGAACGGACGAGAAGCUUGCUUUUCUGAUGUUAGCGGCGGACGGGUGAGUAACACGUGGAUAACCUACCUAUAAGACUGGGAUAACUUCGGGAAACCGGAGCUAACACCGGAUAAUAUUUUGAACCGCAUGGUUCAAAAGUGAAAGACGGUCUUGCUGUCACUUAUAGAUGGAUCCGCGCUGCAUUAGCUAGUUGGUAAGGUAACGGCUUACCACGGCAACGAUGCAUAGCCGACGUGAGAGGGUGAUAGGCCACACGGGAACGGAGACGCGGACCAGACUCCUACGAGACGCAGCAGUAGGGAAUCUUCCGCAAUGGGCGAAAGCCUGACGGAGCAACGCCGCGUGAGUGAUGAAGGUCUUCGGAUCGUAAAACUCUGUUAUUAGGGAAGAACAGAUGUGUAAGUAACUGUGCACAUCUUGACGGUACUGAAUCAGAAAGCCACGGCUAACUACGUG
rnacentral:rRNA from 1 species